rnacentral:lncRNA from 10 species
CCCUUAACAUGUCACUUUUACCAACAAAGCUUUUUCCUUCAUAUUCUAAUCACAAAAAUUUCUCAACAAUUUAUAACAAUCUGUAAAUCUGACCUUGCAAUAAAUAGUCAUAAAACGUUAUUUUUAUUACUAUUAUUAUUUUUAGAGACAAGGUCUCGCUCUGUUCCCCGAGCUGGAGUGCAGUGGUACAAUCACAGCUCACUAGCCUCAAGCGAUUCUCCAGCCUCAGCCUCCCAAAGUAGUGGGAUUUCAGGCAUGAAUCACCACACCUGGCCUUGAAACAUUAUUUUUAAAGCCUAAAUUCCAGUUGGUAUGGUACCAAAAUUUAGUUUAACUUCAAAAUUCACAGUACUGCCGAGAAAUGGGCGGGUCCUGAGGUUCCAGAGAAGUGGGGAGUGAAUUCAUUCCUGGUGGUUUUAUUCUGGCAGCAUGCAUGGGAGAUCACAUGAGUUAGAGGGCUGUGGCCUGGUAUCAACACUUCAAGCUGUUGUACUUUUACUUCAAGUUGAAACUUUUAAAAUACAUCUGUCAUACAGAUGUACAAAUAUAUGUAAAUGCAAACACAUAUACACACUUUUUGACAAAAGAAUAAUGGUAACACACACGAACCAUUUUUGUAAACAGAUUCUAUUUGGUUAAUAGAAGUAUUCCUUCCAU